AUGCGGAGGGAGCAAGCGUUAUUCGGAAUCACUGGGCGUAAAGGACGCGUAGGCGGGUUUGUAAGUCAGGUGUGAAAUCCUACAGCUCAACUGUAGAACUGCACUUGAAACUACAGACCUAGAGUAUGGAAGGGGCAGAUGGAAUUAGUGGUGUAGGGGUAAAAUCCGUAGAUAUCACUAGGAAUACCGAAAGCGAAGGCGAUCUGCUGGGACAUUACUGACGCUGAGGCGUGAAAGCGUGGGGAGCAAACAGGAUUAGAAACCCGGGUAGUCC
rnacentral:rRNA from 1 species